GGCCGCGAAGGUGGCAAGAAGAAGCCACUGAAACAGCCCAAGAAGCAGGCCAAGGAGAUGGACGAGGAAGAUAAGGCUUUCAAGCAGAAACAAAAAGAGGAGCAGAAGAAACUCGAGGAGCUAAAAGCGAAGGCCGCGGGGAAGGGGCCCUUGGGUGGAAUUAAGAAAUCUGGCAAAAAGUAAGCUGUUCCUUGUGCCUGAGGAGAUGGUGACCCUUUAUUUCAUCUGUAUUUAAACCUCUCUAUUCCCUGCCAUAACAUCUUUUGCCACGUAUAGCUGGAAUUAAGUGUUGUCUUGGAGCUGUUGUACAUUUAAGAAUAAACUUUUGUAAAAAAAAAAAAAAAAAAUCUUACAGUGGCUCAUCAUCUCUUUAGUUGUUUUCACUAAGUCAUUCCUACCAUAACUGUGAAUUUAAAGUAAAACCAGCUCAGAAUCUUGCCAGAGUCUGUUCUUUGGUCCUUGUUCUACCCUAAACUUUGUAUCACCUGAAAUUAAACCAACUCAUUUG
rnacentral:lncRNA from 1 species